rnacentral:lncRNA from 1 species
CACCGAGAGAGCUAAUUCAACGAGCAGUCUCUCUAUGGCUCCUCCGAGACGACCCGGUGACGUCAAGGUCUGCGUGUUCGAAGUUCGAAAUCCCCGUCACCCUAAAAAUCUAUCGUCACGUGCAUCAGCGAAACUUCUCCCUCGGUCCAUGCAAAUGAAAGCUCCUCUCUAUGUGAAGAGUACUCGUGUCACGAGAAGGCGAAUUGAUGAAAUCAGAAAUGCAGAUCAUGAUCACACAAUUGGGAUUAACGGUGUGGUCUGCGGAACACGGUUCCCUGAAAUCGAGGGGAAAGGCGCUCUUUUAUGGACUAAAAUUAGUGAAAGUAUAAGAUGACGCCAAAAGCAAGCUAUUGAAGAUCCUCUGUCCAGAAGAUCCUCCGACAUAAAAAUUACGUCGGUCCCACGGCCGGUCGUUUUCUCACGUUUCCCCGGUCAUUCGCGCGAAACUCGUCAUCGAACGUUUAAUCUCCUGCACUUGACUCGAGAGACUGCAACCUGUGCUCCACAUUCGGUAGGGGAGCCGAAUACACCCCAGAGACCGCUUUAAAUAAAUUUCAAUUCGAUAAAGAAGGGGGUUCCAUCAAGAAUAAAAGCAGCACAAGAUGUCGACAUUCAAUAUGACCGAUUAUGGUAACAAUCCAUGCAAGAAUUCGCAUCGAUUCUAGAGCGAAGAAUCCUGUUGAUUCGUCAAGGUACCUCGGCAGCUGGUCAAAGAGCGUUGCGGAUCCUCUCUAUAGAUCCUAUAUAAAUCGUACGGGUCUGCCUUUCUACGAGGAAACACGUGCCAGCCACAUGUUGCACAAAAGGAAUCCUCAGUGGUCCUUUCGAGUAUCGUAGCGUAAGUCGCAGUCACAAAGGAGCUUUAGAAGCCCAUAAAUGAUUCUUUUCCCGUCGCGGAGAUCGAAGGGCAGCAGAUGUUUUGUCGCCCUCUUCGAAGACCAGGAUGAUACAGUGCAAGAAAAAACUGAGAAUUUAUGAUUUCACCUUUGAUGCUUUCUUUGAAGCUAUUGCAAGUGCUUUUAUCAUUUUAAUCUUUGCAUUUUUAUGUUAAAUAUGGUCAAGAGGAAUUUUAGAAAAGCUCAGAAUGUCUGAAUGUUUACAUCUCACAAUAAAAUCAGAUAUAAUCAAGAGGAAUUUUAGAAACAUCUAGAACAUCUGAAUGUUUGCAUCUCACAAUAUUGCAAGUGGUUUUAUCAUUGUAAUCACUCUCUUUGCAUUUUGAUAUCAAAUAUAAUUAAGAGGAAUUUUAAAAACGUUCAUAACUUCUGAAUGUUUGCAUUACAAUUUGGAAAGCUGAAGAGUAUUUAAAAAAUUAAUAAUUUAAAAGUAAGAUGUAUUUACAAGCUACACGUAUAGACAUUAAAAAAACAAACUGAAUCAUAGUCAAGAGGAAUUUUAAAAACAUCAAUAACAUCUGAAUACUUGUAUCUCACAAUUUUGAAAGUUGAAGAGUAUUUAAAAAGUUAAAAAUUUAUACUUGAGAAUAUUUAAAAAGAAGUUAAUUUCGUGCAGGGGCUGGCUGCGGUUGCAUCUAAUCGCAUAGGCUACGAUAAAGGAAUGGGAAGAUUUUUGAACACGUGGUUGCGACCAUCUGUUAGCAUCCGUUUAACCCAACCUAAACCUCGUCCUCUUUUCUGCUUUCUUUCUUCUGAUAUUAAGGACCAAGGUUAACGCUGCAGAAUAUAAAUAAACGCUAAGCAUUUUCCCAGGUGUUCCGAGCAGGUAAAGCAUUCCUACUGAAGCAACUCUACCUGACCCACCUGGCUUUCACGCUGCAUUUUCGGCCGGACAACAGUUUCUCUCCAUAUAUAUAUAUAUAAAGGGAACUAGCUACCUAAAAUGUAUAAUAUCUAGAUAUGGACUGAAAAAUGUAUCCUGCAGAAAGUUUAACCUAAGCUAUAGUUUAUCUAUGCCCCCAAUCUCAACUGGGAAUCUCAAUAUCCACGAUUCUCGGCUUUUGAACACAUCGAAGAUGUCUCGAAGCUCUAAAACCGUGCUUAUCCCACUGGUCGGUGAAUUACGUUCAAAGAAAAUCCGAAGGAACGCGUCAUACAAGCCACCAUUGAAAAACGGGGCUUGAAAGCGACAGCUUAAAAACCCAAUAUCGAGGGUUCUCGUGAGGCUUAGAUAUUGCGUAUCAACUGGAAAUCUUUCUCUGUGGCUUUCUUCGGUUUCCUCACAUGUCCUCUGCUAAUUUUUUAUUGUUUCAAAAUCAUAAUUAUUUUAUUUACUUCAAAGUUGAAGAAACUACAUAAUUUUAUUUAUAAGAUAGUUAAAAAGACAAUUGUUUAACAUUAUAUUUUAUAAAUUGAAGUUAUUAUAAAUUGUAUAAAUUAUAAUUAAUUAUUUCAGAAUUUUAAAUUGAAUGUUGGAAGCAUGUCAGGAUUUUAAAAAGCACAGAAGAAAGCAAGAUACCUGUUCAUAAAUAGUUAAGCACAGUAACAAUGGUUUAACGUUAAAUUAUUUUAUGAAUUAAAGUUGUCACAAUUGUGUAAAUCAAAAUUAUAAAUUGAAUUUAUUUUAAAAUUCAUGUUGGAAGCAUGUGAGGAUUUUAAAAAGCACAGAAGAAAGAUAUAAAGCUGUAUGAACAAUAUAACCUAUGUAAAGAAACAAAAUGGCGACCACAAAGAGUGGAGGAUGACCAUAGGACAGGAAACGUGUGGCGAGACUGUUUCUUCGCUGGAAUAUCCGGUUCGCCACGCGUACUGCGUGUGUCUUGCUUGACGUCACACCACACACCUGCUUCCUUACAGCUGUUCCCUUCGUGGUGGCAAACUCCCUCAAAUAGCUUUGUACUCCCUCGUUAAUAUUCUUUAAAGAAUCCCAGAAAAGAUUGAAGAACUGAUGUUCCAUGGGAACAGAAGGAAGUAUCGCAUUGGGAACACACGGCCACCCCUCGACGCAAGGAUACGUGUUUUACAAACACCGCUGACCCACCUCGCAACAGAUGCAAGAAUAUACGCGCGCUCUCUCUAUGUCCGUCUUUUUUUGCUCCUCUUUUUUCUACUUCUGGGGCGCACACGCUGUCGUCCCCAGAGACGUUCAGGGAUGACGAACUCAGCCGGUUAACUAGAGUAUUGUUCGAUUAUUAUUUCGGUACAUAUCGCGCACUUGUUAUCUCUUUAUGCGGUCAUAUGGUGGUAACAAGGGUGCUUUCUAUAUGACGGAUCUGAGAAACCUUUGUUUAUCAUACUAAGUUAGGAGAUAAGUAACACCAGGAUUAGAUUAACUCAAGUAUGUUAGGUUAACCCUUUGUCUCAAUUUUACAGAUUUAAUUUACAAAGUAGAUAACAAAAUUUUUGAACAAAACGUAUUACAGGGAGAAAUAUUCUAGUAAUCUUUUUAUCUAAAUUAUUUAGAUCCAAGAGAAGUAUGUGUAAGCCAAGCCACAUGAUUUAUAAUUUAUUAAUACUUGAAUUCUAAUUAUCUGAAUUAUUUAUGAGAUCCAAGAAAGAUACGUAUAAGUCAAGCCACAUAGUGCAAAGGGUUAAUCCUGUUAGUUCAUAAUGAAGUAUACUAGGUUUUACAAUUUGUUCAUACUUGAUUUGUUACAAUUUGUUCCACUACGCUUUGCUUAAAUUUCAAGCAGAAUCUUUGAUCUUAAAUUUCUAUCUAUUAAUUGUAUUUGUUAAUAGUUUAAGUUCACUUCAUUUGCUCUCAUUUUAUACUAAAAAAAAGGUCCUUCAAAAAGUUUGUAAAAGUAUAAAAACCUUAACAGAGACAUGAAGUGUAUUUAUAACUGUAGGGGCUAACUGUAGGGGUGUUUCUGCAUCUCUGAGGUGGGGAGCAUUUAUGAGGGUAUCUAACGCGUUCCAGGGGUGUUCUGAUCUCUGCAACAAAGACUAGGGUUCUGCAACCUGUGUGGAACCUGCGUCACCUUACAGAGGUUAAUUCGCAAGCGAGUUAGAGGAAGCGUCUGCCCGUCGAGGAGAAAGGGAGGACAAUGAUCCUCGGAAACGAAGCAAGGAACAUCUGCUCCAGUCCGGAUCACAGCGUGUCCUCCUUCAAUGAGGCGAUCGGCGUCGUGAAACUUGUCCCACCUCGGCCGUGCAUAGAUCUUAACGGAAGGCACGUGCAGCGCCGUGGGCCAAAGAUUCCAGCAGCCAUCGUCCCGGAAAUUCGCUGCUCCCCGAAUUACAGGGCAGCGGGCUUUUUAAAUUAAUAAUAUAGACGCGCCGAUGAAAAUAUAAUAACGAGGCGCGUACGUAGUGCUCGUAGCCCGCAGUUAUAUACAACGUGAGCGAAGAUAAAAGAUUCCUCGAAAUAAGGCCGAGCAAUAACUUGGAAUCGAAGCUGCUUUACGUUUCGCAUGGGAUUGCUCGUAAAACUUUGGAUUCUCUUAAAAAGAGACGACGUAACGUGUAGACCGAAGGUAUACUUUAUUUCGUUUACGAGAGCUACGCCUCUCAUGCAUUUAUAUGUUUAUGUUUCUAGCACUGCUGUGCUGCUUUGAAACGCAUUAUGAAGCCAAAUUGUUAUGAGAAGACGUGUAAUGAUUUAUAAUAAUAAAACACACUGACAGUUAUGUCAAGAAGCUUUAUGGGUGAAGAAAGUUUUAUGGGGCCUACAGAACCUUUCAUAUCAAGCAGCUGCUCUCUUGGGGCUAUAUCUUCAAACGUUUUGUACAAAGGGAUUUUGUUAAUUAUUUUUUAGGAAAAUCACUUACCCGUACAGCAUCGCUGCGCCGGCUAUGCCGCCUCCGCAUUGUGCAGCUAUGUAAAGUGCAGCUCGAAGGAAAGAGAUCCGUCGACACAAAGCGAAAGACACAGAGACAGCUGGAUUCACGUGGCCACCUGCGACAGAAAUAUUUGAUCGUUUUAUCGCAUAAAGCUACAACGCUUUUUAAUCGCGUUCUAGAUGCACAGUUGCUCUUUGUUCUUUUGGUGAUAUUCUUUUCAAAACUGUUGGACUGUUUUAAAUAUAGGAAAGAGGGAAGAGUCACUAAAUCUGUCACUUAAAACCUGGUAAAAAAAUCCAAGAAUUUUGAUGGAGAAUAUUUAAAAUACCCCAGUAAAAUUUCAAGAAGAUUAAAGCACUGUCUGGUUGCAGUUGAAGUACAUUCUUGAUAUACUUUGUAGUAGAGCAAACACCGAGGCAGACGCGUGCUCCACUCAUUUAUUAAACGCGUUCUCGAGGAUAGCAGAAUAAAUGCGAUCGUGUUUCUGCUUAGACGGCAACGAGAUAUUAAGAGGAACAUGAAUUCAAGCGUGUGAGUGAAAUACAUGGCCACAUUGUACGCACGUCCACGAAUAUAACCAAUAACAUAAGAGCUUGGAGCAAAUAACUAUGAUCUCCUGUGGUUCUAAUAUAUAUUUUAAGCUCAAACCUCAUAGCUUCCCAAGAAGACAACACGUGCGAAUUUAUUGAUCUGUAAGAGAGAUCCUUACCACUAACGUGUCCGAAGAUCAAGCAGAUCGCGGCGAUGGCAAAGCCAGAUGCGACGGCGAUGGCCAAAACAGAGAGACCGCUGCCGGAAACCG